rnacentral:tRNA from 1 species
AUUUAUGUAGUUUAUAUAAAAUAUUACAUUUUCAUUGUAAAGAUAAAAAUAUUUUUUCAUAAAUA